GCAUUGGUGGUUCAGUGGUAGAAUUCUCGCCUGCCACGCGGGAGGGGCGGGUUCGAUUCCCGGCCAAUGCA
rnacentral:tRNA from 1 species